AUGGCGGUGCUACUAUGCCCGUACGAUGGAUUCAGCAGGGCUGAGGAUGUCGUGUUUGAUCAUAUGCCAAUCUGGCUAUAGAUACACAAGUUGCCUGACCCCUUUUGCAAAGAGAAUAUUGUAGAGAAAUUGCUGAAGGGUGCAGGGGAAAUUAUGGAGAUGCGUUUGUACGGGAAUACCCGUGGUGAUUACGUAAGGGUGAGGAUUAAUCAUGGCAUCCAAAAGCCCCUUACGAAGUUUGUGAGCAUAGUCCAAGCCAAGGAAAGGCAGAUGUACUUGGUGCGCUACGAGAAAUUGGCUCGUUUUUGCAAGGCUUGCGGCCUGAUCGGCCAUGAUCAUAAAGAGUGCGGUCUGGGAAUUCAUGAUGUUAAGAAGCUCAAGUACGGGGAUUGGCUGUAUGCCGAUGGACCGAACAGAUCUAGGACUGAUUUGAACAAUGGCAAUGCGUCUAAUCCACGGCAACAGGGGAGGCCGAGUAGCCCGGCAGGUACCCCAAGACCCUCGAAGAAAGACCAAGACCCAGAUACUAGGGAUACAGCUACAAGUCCUUUGAAGGAUCACGUGGCUAGGAUGGAGGUGGACCGGGAUGCCAGGAAGAGGCUGAACAUGGAGGAGGACACAGUUGAGGCAAACAGGGCCUCCGGUGCUCUGAAACCGGUCCUUGCUAUCACUGAUGGUAGUGGGACGGAUCUAGGCACACCUGCUUCGCCUACUAGUAGCACGUCAAGCAGCAAACGUGCAAGACUCGCCAAAGAGAAUGAUACCAAUGAGAUAUCGGCGGCCUCCCUCGAGGAGGACCGCCGGACGCAAUGA
rnacentral:rRNA from 1 species